rnacentral:rRNA from 1 species
UACGGGGGGGGCAAGCGUUGUUCGGAAUUACUGGGCGUAAAGGGCUCGUAGGCGGCCAACUAAGUCAGACGUGAAAUCCCUCAGCUUAACUGGGGAACUGCGUCUGAUACUGGAUGGCUUGGAUCCGGGAGAGGGAUGCGGAAUUCCAGGUGUAGCGGUGAAAUGCGUAGAUAUCUGGAGGAACACCGGUGGCGAAGGCGGCAUCCUGGACCGACACUGACGCUGAGGAGCGAAAGCCAGGGGAGCAAACGGG